AGGAUGUUGGCUUAGAAGCAGCCACUCAUUCAAAGAGUGCGUAAUAGCUCACUGGUCGAGUGAUCCUGCGCCGAAGAUUUCCGGGGCUAAAACUUACUACCGAAGCUACGGCAUCAGUAAUGAUGGGGAGGGGAGCUUCCCAUACGGGUUGAAGCAUGACCGUAAGGACAUGUGGACAGUAUGGGAGGGAGAAUGUUGGCAUGAGUAGCGAGAUGUGGGUGGGAAUCCCACAGGCCGUAAACCCAAGGUUUCCAGGGGAAGGUUCGUCCGCCCUGGGUUAGUCGGGACCUAAGCUGAGGCCGAAAGGCGUAGGUGAUGGACAACAGGUUGAUAUUCCUGUACUACCGAUAACC
rnacentral:rRNA from 1 species